AAUACGACAUCUGCCCCAAGGAUGGCCCCGCUGCCUUCUUGACCUUCCAGCUCUCUGACUGUAUCUUACAGAUCUCAAAAAUGAACAUCUGCCGCUUACAGCACAUUUUUCAGGUUCCCACACGUCAGGUCAUGGACCGCUUUUAUAUCCAGGGCUACCAGGACAUGGUCUCCUUCCUAAAAAGACUGAGGGAUUUCCAGGUGAAUUACUUCGAGGGCUUCACACUUUCCUUGGCCAAUGAAUCAAAUCAGAAAGGUGACGAGACCCUGCA